CACGGGGGGAGCAAGCGUUGUUCGGAAUCACUGGGCGUAAAGGGCGUGUAGGCUGUUGCGUAAGUGGAAUGUGAAAUCCCCCGGCUUACCCGGGGACCUGCAUCCCAAACUGCGCGACUUGAGUAUGGGAGAGGAUGAGGGAAUUCCUGGUGUAGCGGUGAAAUGCGUAGAUAUCAGGAGGAACACCGGUGGCGAAGGCGGGUCUCUGGGCCGAUACUGACGCUGAGGAGCGAAAGCGUGGGGAGCGAACAGG
rnacentral:rRNA from 1 species